GUGGAUAUCUGGAGGUUUAGGAGCAGAGAUUUUCUGCAAGUAAUUUCUGAUGCUGAGUUUCCCAGACAAUUCCUCUCCACCCAGAAGUUUAAAGACCUGACCGUUGGCAAACACACACCGAGAAGGCGCCCGAAAAAGAAAGAGAACAAAUCCAAACACGCCCCCAGAACUUCCAGCUGAAGGAAGAGACUGAGAAACUCAGCAGGAACAGCCUGUCACAGAUCUGCAGGGAACAGCAGGGCAGACUCCACGGUGGUUCUUUAGCCCACCUCUUGUCUCCCCAUAAAGAGCAGGAGGUACACACUCAUUCCAGGCCCAAGACCUCUGGCACGGAGCUCUCUUACCUUUUGCUAAUUCUGUAAUGUGCCGUCUCCAAGGCUCCCGUUAUGGGGUUUGAA